GUGUUAGCUUGACAGCCCAGAUACUAAAAUUAGAGUGGUACAAAGAUGAGCUUGGUUCUUGCACCAGGAUGACAUGCAAAUUCAUGAGGCAUGCCAUAUUUUU
ensembl:snRNA U6 U6 spliceosomal RNA